CCGGAAACAGACAGUUAAGGUCAAAGGCAACUGGAUUAUGCAGCAUAUCAACUGACAAUUGCAUUUUCUAAAAGCAGGAUAUCAAUCACGGAGCUCUCCUUCUGUGAGGAUGGGUGAGAACUAAUGCCUUAGGAGUCAUUGUGCCUUUGUAGUAAAUUGAUAAAAGGGAUAGCAAUUCAUAACACGUCACUAGUGACAAAUCUGUGCAAUUUUUUUCUCAUCUUUUACACUUAUUUCCUUUGGUUUGUGGUGUAGUGGUCAGCCGGGUUUGAUCGCCGGUGGCCGGAUGGCUCGGUUGGUGGAGCACCUGACUAGAGAUUCAG